rnacentral:snRNA from 1 species
AUCACUUCUCGGCCUUUUGGCUAAGAUCAAGUGUAGUAUCUGUGCUUCUCAGUUUACUCUGAUAAGUCCUAUAUCCGAGGGCAAUACAUUAAAUGAACUUUUGGAACAGGGAGAUGGAAGAAGAGCUUAUUGCGGUACCUCCAGGAACGGUGCACCAUUAAAUAAAC